GACGAACGCUGGCGGCGUGCUUAACACAUGCAAGUCGAACGGAAAGGCCCUGCUUUUGUGGGGUGCUCGAGUGGCGAACGGGUGAGUAACACGUGAGUAACCUGCCCUUGACUUUGGGAUAACUUCAGGAAACUGGGGCUAAUACCGGAUAGGAGCUCCUGCUGCAUGGUGGGGGUUGGAAAGUUUCGGCGGUUGGGGAUGGACUCGCGGCUUAUCAGCUUGUUGGUGGGGUAGUGGCUUACCAAGGCUUUGACGGGUAGCCGGCCUGAGAGGGUGACCGGGCAGAGGGGGAAGAGGAUACGGACGGGACUCCGGCGGGAGGCAGCAGCGGGGAAGGGGGCACGAGGGGCGGAAGGCUGAUGCAGCAACGCCGCGGGGGGGAUGGGGGCGUUGGGGUGGUAAGAAGCUUGCGACUGGGAAGAAGGGUGCGAGAAGGUAAUGGGUAAAGAAGAACCGGCUAACUACGUG
rnacentral:rRNA from 1 species